AGAGUUUGAUCAUGGCUCAGAACGAACGCUGGCGGCGUGGAUAAGACAUGCAAGUCGAGCGCUGAUCACAGGGUAGCAAUAUUCUGUGGUUGGAGCGGCGCAAGGGUGCGUAACACGUGGGUAAUCUGCCGUGAAGUUUGGGAUAACUUGCUGAAAGGCGAGCUAAUACCGGAUGUGAAACUUGGAAGGCAUCUUCUGAUUUUCAAAGCUGGGGACCGUAAGGCCUGGCGCUUCAUGAUGAGCCCGCGGCCUAUCAGCUAGUUGGUAAGGUAACGGCUUACCAAGGCUAAGACGGGUAGCUGGUCUGAGAGGACGACCAGCCACACUGGAACUGAGACACGGUCCAGACACCUACGGGUGGCAGCAGUCGAGAAUUUUUCACAAUGGGCGCAAGCCUGAUGGAGCGACGCCGCGUGGGGGAUGAAUGGCUUCGGCCCGUAAACCCCUGUCAUUUGCGAACAAAUUGCUCAACCUAACACGUGGAGCAUUGAUAGUAGCGAAAGAGGAAGGGACGGCUAACUCUGUGCCAGCAGCCGCGGUAAUACAGAGGUCCCAAGCGUUGUUCGGAUUCACUGGGCGUAAAGGGUGCGUAGGUGGCGAGGUAAGUCGGAUGUGAAAGCUCGGAGCUCAACUCCGAAAUGGCAUUGGAAACUACCUUGCUAGAGGGUCGGAGGGGGGACUGGAAUUCUUGGUGUAGCAGUGAAAUGCGUAGAUAUCAAGAGGAACACCAGUGGCGAAGGCGAGUCCCUGGACGACUCCUGACACUGAGGCACGAAAGCUAGGGGAGCAAACAGGAUUAGAUACCCUAGUAGUCC
rnacentral:rRNA from 1 species